ACCGAACACAGUGGUACUUUACCACUGAGCUACAUCCAGUCCUUUUUUAUUUUUGAGACUGUUCUCGAUAAGUUGCUUAGAACCUCACAAAGUUGCUGAGGCUGACCUCAAACUUGUAAUCCUCUUGCCUCAGCCUCCUGAAUAGCAGGGAUUAUAGGUGGGCACCUCCUCACCCAGCUAAACUAACGGAGAGCAUGGUGCGGCCGAGCACAGAUCCUCUCAGUGAUCCCGGGCAAUUUGGAAUGUGAAACUUGUGGAGAGUGAGUGCUUUGCUGUGCUGUAGCACAUCUAACAUCAACUUCGAGGUCUCACUGAGUGUCCAGAGACAGGAUCUUGACCUGUUGAUCCUCCUGCCUCAGCCUUCCAAAUCACUGGGAUCACAGGCAUGCGUCACCAUGCCCAGCUCUGCUAGGCAGUUUUUUUAAGUGAUUUUUAAAAUUCAAUUAAUAUGUGCCUAUGGUGCCCUCCUCACCAGCCUUACAUCUGCACUGCCAUUGUAUGAUGGCCAGGAACCUUUGUCCACGAGCAAAAGCCUCCCUCUGCAUGGACAGCCUCCUUGAUGCUAAGGAUCUCUGUCUCUUUAUUUUCAAGUCUCGUCUACCUCGGCCUUCCACCUGACCUCAGCACCCCUGAUACUUCACUUUGUACCUGCCACUCCACCUAGCCACAGUUUUCCCUGACUCUACCUUCAAGACCCACUGAACUUCAACAACCAGAACCUGCAGCCAGGCGGCUUCCCAGGAAAUCCCUCCCCUCAUUGGGAAGUUGGGGGAGAGAGUCGCGCUGGCAAGUCCUGAAACAUGUCUCUCUGCAGCAUUAACGUCAAAACCAAGCACAGCCACUGUGCCAAACUUCACAGUAUCUACAGGGAACUCGAGCAACAUAAUUGGAUCCACAGUGAUUCCAUGUGGAAAGAAGAUAUAAAAGAGGUGUUUAUUGCAUCUAUUUGAGCAAUGUUUUAAAAUCAUCUUCUUUUAGAAUAGGUAGUAAGUACUUUCCUGAAACCCAAAAUAUAGCAAUUAGCAUCUGUCAAGUAGUCAACAGAAUAUAAAAUACAGACACAUAUGAUCAAGAAGAAUCCAGCUCUCUCUCGGCUGUGCUGAACAAGGGAGGGAAGGUAGAAUUAGGAUGGGCUUGAGGUCAGGCAGACAUGACUUUUAAUCUUGCUCUGCCCUUCACGGGCUGUGUGAGGUAAGGAAUUUAACUCUGAACCUCCUUCUUCAUCUGUGGCAUAGGAAUGCUGCGACACUUCUUACCUUACAGUGCUGCAAUGGGGUCUCAAACUGCCUGAGUUCAAGUGCCUCAUCCAGAAUGUGGCACACAAUAUAUGCACAGUAAUGGGGAGGGUAACAAUCAUGGUGUUGAUGGAGAUUACAGUGACAGUGGUGACGGCCAAAACCCACAGCAGUGUGCUAUUCAAAUCACUGGUAGAGAACACAGGGUUAGAAUUUAGUCAUUUGCUGGACAAAUCUUCAAAAGAAAAGAAUGGAAAAGGAGAAAGGAAACGGAUGAAACUAUUAGAGUUAAGAUACCCUAACACCUAGAAGAGGGAGAAGAAACUAUAGCAUCCUGCAAAAACUUACAUUAAGCCUCUGUUCUGGGGCAGACUACUCAGAAAACAUACCAAGUCCAUUUUGUCCAAAUUGGAGAGUCUUUAUUUAGCCGGCCAGCCAGUGACUGCUCCCAGCAGGACCCAUAACUGUCUCUGCAAGGAACAGCCUUGAGCCUGAGCAUUUUAGGGUCUUUAAAGGCAAACACCACAAAAAACACAUCUGGGUUGACAUAGCUGCAAUCAAGCAAGGGUACAGAAGCUGAAUUGUGCAGUUAGGGAAACAAUGCAAUGGAUACAUUGGUAUUUCCCACAGGACUUUCCAGGUUGGCAUAGCAGCAAGCAAGCAGAAGAGAAGUGGGUCAAAAUGACCCUAAUUGAGUACGAGUUAGAGAAUGGUUACUAAAGCCUAGACAAUCAUCAAUCUCUGACAGGGUACAUUGCCCAAGAAAAAUGGAAACCAAAGAAAACAAUUUUACAUUGUAUAAGAAUUGCCAUUUUGUGUUGCCAACAUGCUAUGCUAAGCAACUAUUGAUAGGUGCAGAGGUGAGGUGUUCCCAUGGGAGAAGCAUUUCUUAUAUGACAUGGAGUCUUGGGGUAAAAUGGAGUCUGUUUGGUCAUUGCCUAUAUAGCAUGGCCCAUAACAGCCUCAUCAAGGUAAUAUUUCUCUUCUGAGUCAUCAUUACAGACCAUAUUUAGUACUAGAGUAAAUGGCACUGAUGACCCUUAGCCCAACAAAGCCUCAGCCUCCCAAGCUGUUGGGAUCAUAGGUAUGUACCACCAUGCUCAGCUUGCCCUGUUUUUGUUUUUGUUUUUGUUUUUUAAUUUUUUCUUUUUAGAUAUGCAUGACAGUAGAGUGUAUUCUGACAUAUUAUACAUACAUGAAGUAUAACAUCCCAUUCCUGUGGCUGCACAUGAUGUGGAGAUACACUGUUCACCUAUUCAUAUAUGAAGAUAGGAAAGUCAUGCCCAAUUCAUGCUACUUACUGUCUUUCCUGUUCCCAUCUCCCCUCCCUUCCCUUCAUUCCCUUGUCUAAUCCAGUGAACUUCUACUCUCCCCCAUCCCUCCAUUGUGUGUUAGCAUCUGCAUAUUGGAGAGAAUAUUUGGCCUUUGGAUUUGGGAGAUUGACUUAUUUCACUUACCAUGAUAGUCUCCAGUUCUAUCCAUUUACUGGCAGACGCUAUAAUUUCAUUCUUCUUUCUGUCUUAAAACACUGUUUCUUGGUGAAUUUUACAGUGAUUUAAAUUAAUCACAUAAAACUAGAGUUAUAUACUACCCUAUAAACUCAAGUCAAGAUUGAGCUGAUUUUAUAGUCAUCCUCUAGCAGGCAGGAAGGAAGAGAGAGAGAGAAGGGAGAAAGGAUGGAUGGAAGGAAGGAAGGGGAACACAAAGAAAAAGUGUAAAGAAUCGGAGCACGGAUAAGUACUUAGAAUGAUGUUUAUUUUAAUAACAAAACCAGAAUGUGAUCUAUAUACAAGGUGAGAUGUAAAAGUCUGGGUCUAUUCUAUCUUGACAUUUUUGAGGCAGAAACUCCAAAUGCCAUCGAAUCAUAACCACAGAAGACAAUCCUCAUGAGAAUUCUGCGAAAGGAAGUUGAGUAAUAUGUUGGAACAGAUGAUGGCUUUUUCAGCCUCCCACAACACCAAAUCAUGGAAAGCUUUCAGAGGUUGUCUGUAUAAAUAAAAUAUGAAUAUCCAAGUUCAGAGUUCCCUUUGUGCAAAUAAUGUUUAUCUUUGUUUAUGUGAAGAAUUGGCAAUCAAAAUAUGAGUUAAGGUUGGCCAUUCCU